UGGCGAACGGGUGAGUAACACGUGAGUAACCUGCCCUUGACUUCGGGAUAACUCCGGGAAACCGGGGCUAAUACCGGAUAUGAGCCGCCUUCGCAUGGGGGUGGUUGGAAAGUUUUUCGGUCAGGGAUGGGCUCGCGGCCUAUCAGCUUGUUGGUGGGGUGAUGGCCUACCAAGGCGACGACGGGUAGCCGGCCUGAGAGGGCGACCGGCCACACUGGGACUGAGACACGGCCCAGACUCCUACGGGAGGCAGCAGUGGGGAAUAUUGCACAAUGGGCGAAAGCCUGAUGCAGCGACGCCGCGUGAGGGAUGAAGGCCUUCGGGUUGUAAACCUCUUUCAGCAGGGAAGAAGCGCAAGUGACGGUACCUGCAGAAGAAGGCGCCGGGCUAAACUACGUGCCAGCAGCCCGCGGUAAUACGUAGGGCGCAAGCGUUGUCCGGGAAUUAUUGGGCGUAAAGAGCUCGUAGGCGGUUUGUCGCGUCUGGUGUGAAAACUCGAGGCUCAACCUCGAGCUUGCAUCGGGUACGGGCAGACUAGAGUGCGGUAGGGGAGACUGGAAUUCCUGGUGUAGCGGUGGAAUGCGCAGAUAUCAGGAGGAACACCGAUGGCGAAGGCAGGUCUCUGGGCCGCAACUGACGCUGAGGAGCGAAAGCAUGGGGAGCGAACAGGAUUAGAUACCCUGGUAGUCCAUGCCGUAAACGUUGGGCACUAGGUGUGGGGCUCAUUCCACGAGUUCCGUGCCGCAGCAAACGCAUUAAGUGCCCCGCCUGGGGAGUACGGCCGCAAGGCUAAAACUCAAAGGAAUUGACGGGGGCCCGCACAAGCGGCGGAGCAUGCGGAUUAAUUCGAUGCAACGCGAAGAACCUUACCAAGGCUUGACAUGCACGAGAAGCCACCAGAGAUGGUGGUCUCUUUGGACACUCGUGCACAGGUGGUGCAUGGCUUGUCGUCAGCUCGUGUCGUGAGAUGUUGGGUUAAGGUCCCGCAACGAAGCGCAACCAUCGUCCCAUGUUGCCAGCGGGUUAUGCCGGGGACUCAUGGGAGACUGCCGGGGUCAACUCGGAGGAAGGUGGGGAUGACGUCAAAUCAUCAUGCCCCUUAUGUCUUGGGCUUCACGCAUGCUACAAUGGCCGGUACAAAGGGCUGCGAUACCGUAAGGUGGAGCGAAUCCCAAAAAGCCGGUCUCAGUUCGGAUUGGGGUCUGCAACUCGACCCCAUGAAGUCGGAGUCGCUAGUAAUCGCAGAUCAGCAACGCUGCGGUGAAUACGUUCCCGGGCCUUGUACACACCGCCCGUCAAGUCACGAAAGUCGGUAACACCCGAAGCCCAUGGCCCAACCGUUCGCGGGGGGAG
rnacentral:rRNA from 1 species